GAUGAACGCUAGCUACAGGCUUAACACAUGCAAGUCGAGGGGAAACGAUAGGGAAAGCUUGCUUUUUCUAGGCGUCGACCGGCGCACGGGUGAGUAACGCGUAUCCAACCUGCCCAUCACUUGGGGAUAACCUUGCGAAAGUAAGACUAAUACCCAAUGACGUCUCUAGAAGACAUCUGAAGGAGAUUAAAGAUUUAUCGGUGAUGGAUGGGGAUGCGUCUGAUUAGCUUGUUGGCGGGGUAACGGCCCACCAAGGCGACGAUCAGUAGGGGUUCUGGGAGGAAGGUCCCCCACAUGGGAACUGAGACACGGUCCAAACUCCUACGGGAGGCAGCAGUGAGGAAUAUUGGUCAAUGGGCGAGAGCCUGAACCAGCCAAGUAGCGUGCAGGAUGACGGCCCUAUGGGUUGUAAACUGCUUUUAUAAGGGAAUAAAGUGAGUCUCGUGAGACUUUUUGCAUGUACCUUAUGAAUAAGGACCGGCUAAUUCCGUGCCAGCCGCCGCAGUAA
rnacentral:rRNA from 1 species